rnacentral:rRNA from 1 species
AACGCUAGCUACAGGCUUAACACAUGCAAGUCGAGGGGCAGCAUGGUCUUAGCUUGCUAAGGCCGAUGGCGACCGGCGCACGGGUGAGUAACGCGUAUCCAACCUGCCUUACACUCUUGGACAGCCUUCUGAAAGGGAGAUUAAUACAAGAUGUUAUCAUGAGUAAGCAUUUUCGCAUGAUUAAAGGUUUACCGGUGUAAGAUGGGGAUGCGUUCCAUUAGAUAGUAGGCGGGGUAACGGCCCACCUAGUCUUCGAUGGAUAGGGGUUCUGAGAGGAAGGUCCCCCACAUUGGAACUGAGACACGGUCCAAACUCCUACGGGAGGCAGCAGUGAGGAAUAUUGGUCAAUGGGCGGAAGCCUGAACCAGCCAAGUAGCGUGCAGGAUGACGGCCCUAUGGGUUGUAAACUGCUUUUAUACAGGAAUAAAGUUAGCCACGUGUGGUUAUUUGUAGGUACUGUAUGAAUAAGGACCGGCUAAUUCCGUGCCAGCAGCCGCGGUAAUACGGAAGGUCCAGGCGUUAUCCGGAUUUAUUGGGUUUAAAGGGAGCGUAGGCCGUCUGUUAAGCGUGUUGUGAAAUGUAGAUGCUCAACAUCUGAAUUGCAGCGCGAACUGGCAGACUUGAGUGUGCGCAACGUAGGCGGAAUUCGUGGUGUAGCGGUGAAAUGCUUAGAUAUCACGAAGAACUCCGAUUG